rnacentral:rRNA from 1 species
AUUGAACGCUGGCGGCAGGCCUAACACAUGCAAGUCGGGCGGUAACACAGGGAGCUUGCUCCUGGGUGACGAGCGGCGGACGGGUGAGUAAUGUCUGGGAAACUGCCUGAUGGAGGGGGAUAACUAAUGGAAACGGUAGCUAAUACCGCAUAACGUCGCAAGACCAAAGAGGGGGACCUUCGGGCCUCUUGCCAUCAGAUGUGCCAAGAUGGGAUUAGCUAGUAGGUGGGGUAACGGCUCACCUAGGCGACGAUCCCUAGCUGGUCUGAGAGGAUGACCAGCCACACUGGAACUGAGACACGGUCCAGACUCCUACGGGAGGCAGCAGUGGGGAAUAUUGCACAAUGGGCGCAAGCCUGAUGCAGCCAUGCCGCGUGUAUGAAGAAGGCCUUCGGGUUGUAAAGUACUUUCAGCGGGGAGGAAGGUGUUGUGGUUAAUAACCACAGCAAUUGACGUUACCCGCAGAAGAAGCACCGGCUAACUCCGUGCCAGCAGCCGCCGUAAAAC